AUUUGAACCUAGACUGUACCUGGCUCCAGAGUGGACACUUUCAAACAUCUUACUAUAGUAGUAUGACACAAAGCAUAUAACAGCAUUCUUGCCCUUCAGCACCUCCAGGGAUUCUCAACAUUGUCAUAGACCAUUCAGCAUGCAUAUCAUAGAGAAGAAGGAAGUGGAAAAAGCCCCAAGCAAACAGUACCAGAUAUGACUGCAAGAGCCCAAGUUGUCUGCAGAGCCCAAACCCCACAGAGAAUCAUCCACUGUUGCAGAGAGAAUUUCUAAGAUGAAAGAAGAUUUCUUUUUUUCAUGAUGAAGUCUCCAACAGUUAAAACUGGGGCUUCUCCUGCUUCAUGAUGUCCAUGAAUUAUUUUGGAGCUAUCUUGGAGAACUCAUUCAAAGGAUCAAAAGUGUUUGAUAUCUUAUCAGGUGCCGAAAAUCAGAGCAAAUACUGCAGGAAGCGUAAGCAAAAAAACUUGAAACUUGCAGAGAGGAGAAGCUGCUUGAGAGAAAAGCUCACCCAGCCUGUUUUAACAUCUUGAGCUCAUCCCAGAGAUGGUAUUGAGUGUUCUGGAGAAAAGGGAUGCAGAGGGAGCCAUCUUCAAGCACAAGGUGAGAGCAGGGAAAUCUCACAUAUUAAGUUGGUCUAGAGGCAGGCCAAGCUGGAGAGCAGCAGGGACCCCUGCCUAGCAGAGCUCUGGGAUGGGCAAGACUUUUGGGGUAAAGGUCACUGAAGCACCUGGGCAGGAUGGGCGUGGGCUCUCUGCUUUGAGAAGUCAGACUUCAAGGGACUGUGUGGACAGGAAUCUUGAAGAUGUCAGAAGAAGUCAGAGAAAUAAGGACUUGACCCUUUUCUUCAGGGUUCCUCGUCAAUCUUCCAAACACUGUAGGGGAAAAAGGCUGGAAUCAAGUCUGAGAGACCAUGUAUAUCCAACCCUGAAUGACAUGUGCUUUGAGAUAUAUGUAAACUGAUGAGAAGAAAAUACUGUUUUUGGCUCUGAUGUCACUGGCUCUGAGUUCACCAGACAUUUUUUUUUAUAGGACUUUGUUUCCCUUCAAUAUUUCUCCAACAUGCUGCCUCUGUUCAUAUAGAUUUCUGAGUUUUGUGCCUCCAAGAAAAGAUUGAUUGGACUGCUGCAUUCCUUUUGUGAGGAUUAGGACUUUGGGGACCAGGAGCUGAAUUCUUAAGGGCUGUGGUUAUAUUAAUAGGUUUGCACCCCUAUGUGUGAAAAAGUCACUUCCCAGUUGGGGCUAAGAAUAGAUCACCCACUUUUGUAGCUUCCUGAGGUUUCCUCUACCACAUUAUUGAACAUCAGCUCUCCCCUUCUAUAGCAGCUCCACCUGUAAUUGCUUUUCUAUGCUUAGAACAGGUAAUCCAUUUUUAGUUGCACUAUUAAAAACAACACCAUUGAUUAUUUCUUGGUUUGUGUCAUGGUUUCUGAAGCUGUGAUAAUAUAAAGUCACUGUAAGUCUGGAUCUC